UUAAGUCACCCAAUUUGCGGUAACAUGUAAUGGCAGCCCUAGGAAACUGAUACUCCAAGCAUAUAUGAGAAGCUGGAUGCCAGGCACUAAUUUCCCAGCCUCACUCAGAGAAAGCUAUACAGUGCUCCUAUGCUUUGACCCCACGAUCCUAUUGACAGCCUGUAUUGUACCUCUAGUUCCUCUGCUCCAUGUAAUAUUCUUUCUUGCUUCACUCCUUUAUAGAGCAUGUCCUCCAUUUGCAGCCUUGAUGAAAAUCUCCAUGAGGAUCUUAACCUAGAGAAUCAGUCCCCGCAACCAUCAGUCACCUAAUUAAAAUCACCCAGGUUGAGAUGUCCAAGAAAAUCAGUUUUCAGUGGACAAUCUUUGCUCCUUCCAUAUUAAAAUUUUAUUUAUUCAUGAGAGACACACAGAGAGAGGCAGAGACACGGGCAGAAGGAGAUGCAGGCUCCCUGCAGGGAGCCUGAUGUGGGACUCAAUCCCAGGACCCUGGAAUCACGCCCUGAGUCAAAGGCAGACAUUCAACUGCUAAACCACCCAAGUGUCCUCAAUUUCUGACUCAGUCAGAAAAAGUCACAUGAACCUUCCUACCAGGAGUUGGCCACUUCUCAGAUUGAUUCUACUUUAUCCGGCCCGGGUUGGUGGAACCCUUUGGAGCACGGAGUCAAACUUGACACCUACUAGCUGCAGCUUGGGCAACUCUCUGAACCUCCAGAAGCUUGCUUUACCAUCCUAAGGAGGAAAAAAAAGUCUCUUUCUUUAAGCGGUAGGGUUACCUUUGAAAAAGAACAAGCACAAGACGGGAUAGUGGCCCACCACAUGGCAAUGGCCAUCCUCUCCUCUCCCAUCCAAACCUGCUUUUCGUCCCCGCACCCGCAUCCUCAAGAAGCCAGAGGACAUGGUCUUCAGCCCUUUGACUACCGUGCACUCUCCAAAGGUUAGAAAGUAUGUGUGUGCAGGCAAGGGAGGCUGGGUUACUGCCUUGUGGGAAUUCGCUGCCAAUUUUGCCCUUGCAUUUCACAUUUUCAAUUCGUUAUUUUUGUUGAUCAAAUUCCAGUCACUUCAAAGGAUAUACUGAGGAUGUGUAUCGUUUUCCAGAAUUAUUUUAGGUAGUGUCAAUGUGACUUUACUAAGGAUGUUAGGGAAUCAGCGGGGCUAUGCGUGUGCACGUGCGUGUGCGUGCACACAACACCCUGACACAUUCCCUCUCACAUG